rnacentral:lncRNA from 1 species
UAGCUUCACUUGCUAAGAGAUAAAUUGCAAAUAUUUGUAAUCUAAGAUUUCCUUGUGAGGUAGUUGUCUCAAGAUUUGAAACAAUGAUCGAUCAUCGUCAUCAUUGUCAUCCAAGCCUAUCGUCAAUCAAAUAUGGUCUUGGCUAUGGAGCAUGCCUCUAAGUUGAGAUGGUUCCCUUGAAGGAUUGACUAGAUUUUAUGGAUAACUAUUAGUCUAGGAUCAGCUUAUAGCUUUGUAGUAAUGGGUGCCAGACACUUGAGAAGGUAAAUAUAGGCCUACAAUGGAAACUAUAUGGCCAAUUGGUGACCAGGCACUAGUCUGUUAUGCAUUAUUUGUCAUAGUUUGAUUUGAUGCAACUAGGCCACAACCCUCCAAAAUUACCGUGAACUUGGGAAGAGAUGAAGCAUAGAAAGAAAAUGGAAGAUUUCUUUUUUAUUUUUGGUUAAUUAACAUAUAGUCAACACUAUAAUCAAUUGUUAUCUGAAAUGUGCGUUAAUUUAGCAUGAAUUCAUGUUGUUUGAUUGUUAUUGAAGAGGGACUGCUAGUUUAGUGCUGGAUUUCCUUCAAGCUUAUUGAUAAUUUCUUUUAUAUUCAGAGGAGCGAGUCCGUUGCUGCUCCACAAUUUUUUGCACUUGCUCAAUUGUGUCCCCUUAGUUCAUCUUUUGAUUCUUGACCAUGCCAUCUUCUCAGUUGAACCUCCUCCAUGCCAAGCUCAUCCAAAAAUUUGUUCUCUCCUUUCCCAUUUUAAAAUCAAGGCUUAAUAACUUUGUGCCUAUACAAUUUGUCAAUAACUUGCAAAUUUGGGAAAUAUCCAACUCCAAUCAAACUUAAAAGGAAGAAUUGGGAAUCUUGUGCCAUUGAAAAAGAAAGAUAUAUAAAAAUGUAGUGAAAGUUCUGGACUCAACUUGCAUUAUGAAUUACUGGGUUGAUUUUUUUUCUUGUAUCAGUCAUUUAUCCUUAAUAUUCUAUUUGUUUUCUAUAAAAGAGAUCGAAGUUGGGAGUUAUUGUCUGCAAAACAAAGUAGUUUCAGUUUUUUUUUCUUUGGGAAAUUUUGGUUGUUGCAGAUAGAAUUAAGAUUGUUACUGAAGCAUGGUUUCUGUUAAGAGUAUAGCAUCAGUCAUAGUAAGCCAUGAAAACUUCCUGCUCUUCAUGAUUUGAGAAUUUGGUAUGGAUCUAUGAUUCUUGAAUUAUAUGCUUCAUCAUAUGCAUGACUUGACUGCAAUUCAAGUUGAAAAGAANN